rnacentral:rRNA from 1 species
AUCCUGGCUCAGGAUGAACGCUAGCGGCAGGCCUAACACAUGCAAGUCGAGGGGUAGAGGCUUUCGGGCCUUGAGACCGGCGCACGGGUGCGUAACGCGUAUGCAAUCUACCUUGUACAGGGGGAUAGCCCAGAGAAAUUUGGAUUAAUACCCCAUAGUAUAUAGAGAGGGAUUCCUUUUACUAUUAAAGUUCCAACGGUACAAGAUGAGCAUGCGUCCCAUUAGCUAGUUGGUAUGGUAACGGCAUACCAAGGCAAUGAUGGGUAGGGGUCCUGAGAGGGAGAUCCCCCACACUGGUACUGAGACACGGACCAGACUCCUACGGGAGGCAGCAGUGAGGAAUAUUGGUCAAUGGGCGCAAGCCUGAACCAGCCAUGCCGCGUGCAGGAUGACGCAUCUAUGGUGUGUAAACUGCUUUUGUACGGGAAGAAACCCUGGUCCGUGAGCCAGAUUGACGGUACCGUAAGCAUAAGGAUCGGC